rnacentral:lncRNA from 12 species
AUGGUGCUUAUGCUAAUUCAGAACUCUAGACACAACAGUAUGGUUCAUAAGUCUCUCCAUGGUUGCAUAAAAUGAGUCCUAUAAUUCAUAGGUCAGGAAAUGUCUUCAUUUGGGUCCAAGAAGGGUAUGGUUUUCUGGUCCUAACUUAAAAUUCAAAAUUAUUUAGCAUCAUUAGCUAAAAUGAGCCAUGGUGAACACAACAUUUGGUUUCCAUAUAUUCUAGACAAGGUCUGCUGUACAUGGAACAUAUUAGGGCUGAGACUAUAGUGAUCAGGAGCCAGGUGCCGGGGAGAAAGAUUUAAGAAGGCUCUCACUCUUAGAGUAUGAUUUGGCACCCAGAAGCAAGUGACUCCUUGUGUACUCUGUCCUAGGCUUCCCACUUGACUCUCAGGCCUUAGACCUGCUUUGAAUACAACUGCAGGGACAUUGGACUUUACCAAGUAGAAAAAGAAGACAUUUCUCUUGCUGGGCUGGGACACAUUUAGGGAAGGACCCUGGGCCAUGCAGAGAGUUUCAUUUCAGGAUCAUGUUACAAUAAAUUCGCCAGGUGGCCAAUUGGAUGUGACACAUCGGGUGGAAAUUCCAUGGAUGUUCUAUGGGUGUUUCAGGGUGCACUGUACCCACCCAGUAGCAGGUGAGGAGCGAAACCCCUACCUCACCAGCUCAGCAUGCCUACACCAAACUUCCAACUGCCAGCUCCUGCAUUUCUUUUGCUUUCUUUGGUAUAGGAGACUCACUCACCAUACGUGGCAGACCAGAUGAGCCAGAGGAGUAUGUCUAUGCCUCUGCCACCGCCAGCCUUCACCAGUGACUGAGGGAAAUAGAUGUCUGAGCAUCCCCAGAUCCCUUGCCCUCUGUGUAGUAAUAUAUUUCACUCACUUCCCAGGGGGAUGAAGUUUCAGUCAUCCACAGCAGUACCUGGCUUGAUAACGCACCCUAUAUUAUUUGUGUCCUCUUCUCUUUCCCACUUCACUCCCCUGCUGUUCUUCACAUCCCAAAAAAACUAUUUGUACUCAAGCCCUUGCUUCAGGAUGUGCUCUUGGAGAAACACAAAGACUGAAGUUGGGAAUUGCUGCUAGUGAAGAUGUGAACCUGCGAGUCGGAGGUUAGGUAAUGCUCAAGGACCAGAAAAGUAACCUCAGUGUUUCAUUCAGCUCAGGGCUCCUAUGUUUGCCUCAGGGAGCUAAGAUGUGAUUGCCCAGAAUUCCAAAGGAGACUCUUUCAAGUGAAGGGAUUGAAAAAUUCUGUACUGCCUUGGAGCCAUUGAGAAGAUGCCAGAGAAUCUCAACAGUGGAAGUCAAGACAACUUCAGCUUCAACUCUGACGCUCUUCACUUUACCCUUUAUAUCACCUGCAGUGACAUUUCUUCUCUCCUUGUUGUGCUGGUGAUUCUGGUUUUCCCUGUCUGAAGAAUAUUUGUUUCCUUCUUAGCCAUGUAAAAUCCUCUUUUAAAACUCAGCAACUUGGUCCUUCCAGAGCAGUGCAUGCUUUCUGAGCAAUAGCACCUCCAUAGUGUACUGACCGAUAAUGUUGUACCCCUACUCUCUCCAAAUGUUCCUGCCCCCAGCCUGUGAAAUUCAGGAGGGCAGGAGCUGUGUUCAUCCCCAAAUCCUUGCCAUCAUCACAGGCAUUUAGUAUACCUCACUAAAUAUUCAAAUGAAAGAGAGAAGAAGGAGGUGCAGCAGAAGAGUUAAAGUAUCCUAGCAGCCUGCAAAAGUACCAGCAAGUAAGUACCACUAGAAGAAGAAGGAAUUGCGCACUUACCCUUGUAAUGAGCUUGGCAACAUGAUAGAAGAGAAAACCUUUUUUGCUCAUAUUGUUGGUGGCAUAUGCAUUGGGAAUCAUGGGGAAGUUUUAGGGGUGGGGGUAAAAAGCAGCAAGAACACAACAUCUGUCUAGGAAAGAGCAAGUGGUUCAGCUUGGCUGGGUGUGGGUGAAGUCAAGAGGAGAGGGGGAUGAUCCUGGGUGUUCUAGGUCUUGAGGCAUGGACCAUGCACUGUCAGCAGCCAUCAAGUAGGAGUAUGUAAGAAAUGCACAAUUCAGACACACCAAAACAGAAUCUUCAUUUUAAUAAGAUUCCCAAGUGACUCCAGUCCUCUAAGCGCAUUAACUAUUGAGAAGCACUAGGGAGUCACUGCAGACUGGGGAAGCAGGAUGAGCUCAGUCAGCCAGAGUAAACAAGGUCUUCUCCAUCAUCUAGGCAAACAGCACAUUUGAAAUUACCGACAGCCCUAAGCUUCUGCUCUCCAUUUCUCUUCCUAAUAAAGCCAGAGAUGAACUUCA